CCUACGGGUGGCGGCAGUCGAGAAUCAUUCACAAUGGGGGAAACCCUGAUGGUGCGACGCCGCGUGGGGGAAUGAAGGUCUUCGGAUUGUAAACCCCUGGCAUGUGGGAGCAAAUUAAAAAGAUAGUACCACAAGAGGAAGAGACGGCUAACUCGGUGCCAGCAGCCGCGGUAAUACAGAGGUCUCAAGCUUUGUUCGGAAUCACUGGGCGUAAAGGGUGCGUAGGCUGUUUCGUAAGUCGUGUGUGAAAGGCGCGGGCUCAACCCGCGGACGGCACAUGAUACUGCGAGACUAGAGUAAUGGAGGGGGAACCGGAAUUCUCGGUGUAGCAGUGAAAUGCGUAGAUAUCGAGAGGAACACUCGGGGCGAAGGCGGGUUCCUGGACAUUAACUGACGCUGAGGCACGAAGGCCAGGGGAGCGAAAGGGAUUAGAUACCCCAGUAGUC
rnacentral:rRNA from 1 species